GCCCCUUUGGCUCAGUGGUAGAGCGUCGCACUCGUACCUAGGCACAUUAUGCGAAGGUCCACGGUUCAAUCCCGUGAGGGGGCA
rfam:Colletotrichum orchidophilum strain IMI 309357 Scaffold_15.1, whole genome shotgun sequence.